rfam:Ovis aries breed Texel chromosome 7, whole genome shotgun sequence.
UCCCUGACAGUCCAGUUGUUAGGAUUGUGCACUUCCACUGCAGAGGGGCAUAGGUUCGAUCCCUGAUCAAGGAA